rnacentral:rRNA from 1 species
GACGAACGCUGGCGGCGUGCUUAACACAUGCAAGUCGAACGAAGUGGCGAACGGGUGAGUAAUCCGUGGGUAACCUGCCCUCCUUCUUGGGAUAAGCCUUGGAAACGGGGUCUAAUACCGAAUAAAGGGGGAGGUGCUCGCGGCCUAUCAGCUUGUUGGUGGGGUGCUGGCCUACCAAGGCGGUGCCGGGUAGCCGGCCUGAGAGGUGGACCGGCAACAGUGGCACGGAGAUACGGCCCAGGGUCGUACGGGGGGGGGAAGUGGGGGAUAUGGGACAAUGGGCGAUAGCCUGAUGCAGCGAGGCCGCGUGGGGGAUGAAGGCUUUCGGGUUGUAAACGUCUUUCGCUAUCGAAGGGGUAGGUGGAGAAGAAGCGCCGGCUAACUACGUGCCAGCAGCCGCGGUAAUAC